GGCCUGGUAGCUCAACUGGUAGAGCUCUGCACCAGUAUUGCAGAGGUCAGGGUUCUGAUAUCCCCAUUCAGGCCU
rnacentral:tRNA from 1 species